ensembl:ncRNA F40H3.7 ncRNA
GCAUGUCAUCGAAACGACCUUCACAUCAAAAUGUGACCUCCUCACUUCCUCUAUUGUUGCUACCGUAAACACGGUCAUGACAACUAGAGUGGGGAUGAUACAUUAGCAUAAUGAGGGAAUGAUGGUCAAAAGAUCUGGG